rnacentral:rRNA from 1 species
GACGAACGCUGGCGGCGUGCUUAACACAUGCAAGUCGAACGAAGUGGCGAACGGGUGAGUAACGCGUAAUCAACCUGCCCUUCCGAGGGGGACAACAGUUGGAAACGACUGCUAAUACCGCAUACUGAAGGGGGGGAUUGCGUCGGAUUAGCUAGUUGGAGGGGUAACGGCCCACCAAGGCGAUGAUCAGUAGCCGAUCUGAGAGGGUGAUCGGCCACAAUGGGACUGGGACACGGCCCAGACUCCUACGGGAGGCAGCAGUAGGGAAUCGUCGGCAAUGGGCGGAAGUCUGACGGAGCAACGCCGCGUGAGUGAUGAAGGGCUUCGGAUUGUAAAGCUCUGUUGAUCGGGAAGCGGUACCUGAAUAGAAAGCGACGGCUAACUACGUGCCAGCAGCCGCGGUAAUAC